AGGUCGUGAUAUUUGCAAUAUG
rnacentral:miRNA from 9 species